CCUACGGGCGGCAGCAGUGGGGGAUAUUGCACAAUGGGGGAAACCCUGAUGCAGCGACGCCGCGUGGGAGAAGAAGGAUUUCGGUAUGUAAAGCCCUAGCAGCAGGGAAGAAGAAAUGACGGUACCUGAGUAAGAAGCACCGGCUAAAGACGGGCCAGCAGCCGCGGUAAUACGUAGGGUGCAAGCGUUAUCCGGAUUUACUGGGUGGAAAGGGAGCGCAGGCGGCACGGCAAGCCUGAUGGGAAAGCCCGCGGCCCAACCGCGGGACGGCAUUGGGAACUACCGGGCUGGAGUGCCGGAGCGGUCGGCGCACUUCCUCGUGUAGCGGUGAACUGCGUCGAUCUUAG
rnacentral:rRNA from 1 species